rnacentral:miRNA from 1 species
AGCUCUCUGCUCAGCUCCCUCGCCAGCCGCAGAGUGAGGCUGGGAGCCGGAAUAUGACGUCAUCUUCCGUCUCCCAGCCUCACUCUGUGGCGCGCGAGGGAGCUGAGCAAACCGCUCAGAGG